ACCUGCCGAUAACUCGGGGAUAGCCUUUCGAAAGAAAGAUUAAUACCCGAUGGCAUAAUAGAACCGCAUGGUUUGAUUAUUAAAGAAUUUCGGUUAUCGAUGGGGAUGCGUUCCAUUAGGCAGUUGGUGGGGUAACGGCCCACCAAACCUUCGAUGGAUAGGGGUUCUGAGAGGAAGGUCCCCCACAUUGGAACUGAGACACGGUCCAAACUCCUACGGGAGGCAGCAGUGAGGAAUAUUGGUCAAUGGGCGCAGGCCUGAACCAGCCAAGUAGCGUGAAGGAUGACUGCCCUAUGGGUUGUAAACUUCUUUUAUAUGGGAAUAAAGUGGUCCACGUGUGGAUUUUUGUAUGUACCAUAUGAAUAAGGAUCGGCUAACUCCGUGCCAGCAGCCGCGGUAAUACGGAGGAUCCGAGCGUUAUCCGGAUUUAUUGGGUUUAAAGGGAGCGUAGGUGGACAGUUAAGUCAGUUGUGAAAGUUUGCGGCUCAACCGUAAAAUUGCAGUUGAUACUGGCUGUCUUGAGUACAGUAGAGGUGGGCGGAAUUCGUGGUGUAGCGGUGAAAUGCUUAGAUAUCACGAAGAACUCCGAUUGCGAAGGCAGCUCACUGGACUGCAACUGACACUGAUGCUCGAAAGUGUGGGUAUCAAACAGGAUUAGAUACCCUGGUAGUCCACACAG
rnacentral:rRNA from 1 species